CCCCGCGCCGUCUCGGGUUUUUGGGGGGUUGGCGCUGCCCCAGCGCGUCCCCCCCGUCCCCGGUGCUCUGCGCUCUGCGUUGGGGCCCCCCCGGGUCCCGUCCACAUCUCCGUGCCCCGUGCUCCGGUUUGGGGUCCCGUUCGCUGCCCCCGCGGUGCCGGAGCCCUCUUGGGUUUUUGGGGCGCGCUCGAGGCAGCGGUAGGAGGGGGCGGCUGCAGAUUAGGGCAUGGUCCCCCCCACGCUUUCUGUUUCAUGUUUUGGGGUGAGUCUUGCCCCCUGUACCUAUCCUGGGACCCCCUGUGCUGUGUGGGAUUGGGGUUGGAUCUGAGGAAAUGGGGUACAGGCAGCUGCUGGUGGUGGGGAGCCCGUGUUUUGCUGCAUCCCAAAUUCCCCGUGAAGAUCCCCCACGUGGGAGGCACUGGGGGGGUCCCAGCUUCGAUGUGAACACUGGGUGUGCUCCCAGGAGGGUCCUGAGGGCUUCUCAGGGGUCUUGGUGACUCCCUGGGGUGCUGGUGUGUGGUAGAGCCGGGGUCACUGAUCCCCCUUCCCUCACGGUUUAAUCGAGGUCACUUGGGGGUUUGGUUGCCCCAGAUAUGUUAGGGUGUCACUGGCUGGACUUGGGGAGGACCUGGUGGGUAGAAGGUGAUGGGGAAGGCCAGGGGUUCUCCUGGACCCGUGUGGGGCAGGGAUCCACCCCCUGCUCCUGAGGGAUAUUCCCAGUCCUAGAGCCUCUAAAUUGCCUUGGGGAGAGCAAUGGGAAGAUGCAGCCCUGUCCCUUGGAUAGAGGGAGGCUGCAAGGGUUCCCGGGGAGGUGUCACCAUCCCUGGUGCUGACGGAGGUCCUCCCUACAGCUGUGGCCCCCCAGGAACGCCGGAGGCAGGAUGGACGAACAGAAGGUGCCUAGCGAGGAGAAGGACACAGCCGCGCCAGCUGAUGGGGUCAUGGCCUCGGAGGAGAUGGGCAGCGCCGAGGGGGACCCCCUGAAACCCCCCGAAGGAGCCUCUGCGGGGCCAGAGCCAGACAACACGGGCACGGAGGGACCUCCCGAGGCUGGCAGGUGAGGGUGGGAGGACUCGGGGGGUGGCGUGGAGCUAUCGAAGGGGUCCUAAAUAUCCCUGACACCCCCCCGUUUGUCUUCU
rnacentral:lncRNA from 1 species